CGCCCUUAGAGUUUGAUCAUGGCUCAGGAUGAACGCUGGCGGCGUGCCUAAUACAUGCAAGUCGAGCGAGGAUUCCUUCGGGAUGCUAGCGGCGGAUGGGUGAGUAACACGUGGGCAAUCUGCCCUAAAGACUGGGAUACCACUUGGAAACAGGUGCUAAUACCGGAUAACAACAUGAUCGCAUGAUUCAAGUUGAAAGGCGGUAAUGUCACUUUAGGAUGAGCCCGCGGCGCAUUAGCUAGUUGGUGGGGUAAAGGCCUACCAAGGCAAUGAUGCGUAGCCGAGUUGAGAGACUGAUCGGCCACAUUGGGACUGAGACACGGCCCAGACUCCUACGGGAGGCAGCAGUAGGGAAUCUUCCACAAUGGACGCAAGUCUGAUGGAGCAACGCCGCGUGAGUGAAGAAGGUUUUCGGAUCGUAAAGCUCUGUUGUUGGUGAAGAAGGAUAGAGGCGUAAGUCUUUAUUUGACGGUAAUCAACCAGAAAGUCACGGCUAACUACGUGCCAGCAGCCGCGGUAAUACGUAG
rnacentral:rRNA from 1 species